rnacentral:lncRNA from 1 species
GGGGGUUUGCCGAGUGUUUUUCUGACACUCGACAAAAAAAUAUUUUUUUUUCUCUUUUCACCAUGAAAUUUUUUCUACUCCCCACAUACAACAUGUGGUACUCCAUGUUAAAAUUUGGUAUAUUUUUUGAUUUAUUUGCUAUAUUUAUUUAAUUAAUUGCAUUUCAAGGAAAUUUUUGGUAUAAGUCAAAUUUGAACUGCAAGUGAUUCAAAUUAUGGAACAAAAUGAGUAGAAAAAUGAUAUUCAUGUUAUUUGGCCCAUUUUGAGACCUGACCCAUGAAAUGAAAAUAAAUUUCGAAC